rnacentral:rRNA from 1 species
GUCCACGCAGUAAACGAUGAAUACUAGCUGUAUGCGAUAUACUGUAUGUGGCAAAGCGAAAGCGUUAAGUAUUCCACCUGGGGAGUACGUUCGCAAGAAUGAAACUCAAAGGAAUUGACGGGGGCCCCGCACAAGCGGAGGAACAUGUGGUUUAAUUCGAUGAUACGCGAGGAACCUUACCCGGGCUUGAAAUGCAUCUGACCGACGAGGAAACUUGUCUUCUAGCAAUAGCAGAUGUGUAAGUGCUGCAUGGUUGUCGU